CGCUCCCGUUCGGAUAUUGCAAACGGGAAGCGUUUCGUGAGACUGCCGACCGGGAGCGCUUUGUGGGAUGGGGAAUUCAAACCUAGUUCUAUCAGUUCGUAGCAUCGCAGAACCGCUCGAGGUGGAAGGGAAACUUUUAAGGCCGCACAGGCCAGGAUCGGGAGAGGGAGAAAAAGAUCCUCCAGCAAAACACGUGUUAGAAAGAAUUCCUCUUCAAUGAAAGCUGGAGUAGAUAACUGGAUUAAAAAACCUGCAGGAAAUGGAAAAUGCAUCGCUCUGAGAUCAUCAGUGGACUUACUUCAGAACAGCUGGACUUCAUCACAAGUUUGUGGACCUCCCAAGCACACCAGUUCCUUCAGAUCAGCUCCGUAUACCCACAACCAUUUGCUGUCCCACAUGAAGAUAUAAAAUUCUGCAUGAUUCAGUACUACUGAUGCUGUAACUUUUUAACAGCAGCAGUUCCAGAACACCAGAAGUGCUAUAUGAGAACUGCUAUGAAGAUUAAACUGGAUAACUACAACUCAUUUCUAGCAAAAUGGAUGUAAAAGCAAAAAAAGCGAAGUAUAGACUGUAAGAUACAAUCCAUUGGCUCCCACACAUACUACAUACAGCACACACUUCCCCUUGUCUUUUCCUGCAGCACUGCAGCUUCAUUGCAAGCAGCUCUGCCUGAGCACCAGCCUGCAAUUAAUCAUUCGUCUGUUGGCACCUUCAGACCCAUAUAAAUGACCUGUGUGCAUGUGAGAGCUGUACAUAUGUACAGCUGUACAGUGUGAUACUGUGAAGCUGUGUUAUCCAUAGACAAGCAAGCUUCAUGAUUUUCAAGCACUUGUUUAGAGAAGAAGUCCUACAAAAGGGGGAGAAAAAAAAAAACCUCUUAAAAAUGCAGAGCAAGAAUGUGCAUCGUGCCCUAAAAUCAGUGCUUGGCCAACGGCUAAAACCUUCCAGCUGCGCUCGUGGGUGUGAUCAGGACUGCACCAAGAGCCACAGGUGAAGCCACGAAUAGCUGUCUAUCAGAAGUACUGGUCAAUAGCUCAUGGAUGAAGAGACAAGACACACUAACACUUUGGUCACUGCAACUGGAAAACAUUUUUGAGAAGCUAUUUAACAAGCUCACGGAAGCACUACAGAUUAGAAAAUAAAGCUCUCAUAUGUUUUCCCUUUCAGGAGAGAGAAACACUUGCAAGACAGCAGAUUUGAUUCUAGAAAAUUGCAUUUCUAAGCAAAAGAAUCAAGUUGUAGGAACCAGCAGUUGAUCAAUCUUCAUGAUCCGUUCCGUGGCGAGCUGGGAAAAAAAAAUGCAGUUGCUAAUCAAUGUCCGAACAGUCUGAAGCUCCGGAAGAGAUCCAAGGAGUCACUAUCAAACUAUCCUGUAGCAUGAGAUCAUUGCACACAGAAGAACAGUCAUAAAAUAGGCAACUAUCUACAAAGGUCUGAAAGGGCUGCAUCCCUCUUGUGUUUCCUCUUUUUGCCAUGGAAAUACUGAUGGUGUGAUUUGCUGCCUUGAUGUUGUUUGUUUGUGACUGAGGUACCGUGGCUUGAAUUUGCUGGACCUUGGAAGCCUUUGUUAGACGAGCGGAAUAACCGUGCAGAUCCAUGCUGCAAAGAGAAAGAGGGCCCAGUAAGUCCAUGGUAAGAAGAAAGCGUGGCGAUUACACAAACUUAUUUGGGGAUAACAAGGACAUCAGCUCAUGAAAAUGAGUCCACAAAGGAACUGGCAAGGCAGAAGCUGGGCCAUUGUUUCAGCGGCAGAAUGAAACCACAAAUCUUUCAUUUUGCCAGCUGCAAACAAAUCUCAUCUCUAGAUCCAAACCACACGUCAACAGAGUGAAGAAUACAGCACUCUGAAUUUUGAAAAUGAUAGAACUGCUCUAUUUCACCCACUGUGCAACCAUCAGAAAAGUGUUAUAUAAAAACAGAAUUCCAUAAUCUGAGAAGAGAUGAAGAUUGCUCAAAUCUCAUAAUCUGUGCAAAUUAAGACAACAUUCCUUUAAGAUCAAGACUAAUUUUACAUCACAUCUUUCUGCAGAUGUACAAUACCUCAGGUUGUGUGUGUUCACCUGCCAGUACCACAGCUGGCUCUGUGCAAUGACACAAACAUACAUGAAUGGUACGUCUAAGGCCUGUUUGUUUAAACUGUCUCAUUCUUAGCUAGAGAACAUCAGCAAACAGGAGGCAGCAAGUCAUCAAAUUUACUUUUCAGGAACAUUACACUAGGUUCCAGACUAUUUUUCAUCCAUUAAAAUAGUCCUAAGUUCUGAAGAAGUAGAAAAAUUUGAACUGCAUAUAUUCAGAGGUAUACUGAAUAUAGAGGCACAUUGUGUUUCCAGAUUACUGAGCUGUCACCAAAGUAUUUUUCAAAAAGAUAAAUCCCCUGGUGCAUAAGCUGUUAGGUCUCACCAUAGAGAUAUCUGAAUUUAAGGGGAAAGGAGAAGGAAUUUCAUGUACCAGCAAGCAUCUUCACCUCCUUUACUAAAAGGCAUUUCAGCAAAGAUCAACAGCUAACACAGCAGUCAGUCAUUGUUUUACACACACAUUUUUGCUUACUGUUAUGUACUGAAGCAUACACAAGUCCAAUUAUUUCUCAUGCUUUGCAGUUAAGAAUGGACUGACAAAAUUUUUGCGAAGAAGAUUUUUACAACACAAACACGUACUUGUAACUAGUCUAGACUUCCCAAAAUAAAGUCAAUCCUACUGUCAUUAUGUUUAAGCCUGGAAAAAGCACAAAACUAAGCUAGAAAGAGAACUGGAUGACUUGAAUGCAAACAGUACUCAGUGUUUUCUAGUGGAACAAAGGAGAAAAACACAAUGUUUUCUUUCCAGAACAAACUAUCCCUCCAUAGAGGGUAUGUGCUAUAACAUUUAAACAUUUCACAAACCUGAGAUUUGUUCGUGUUGCUGGAUGUAUUGCCUGUUUGGCUGCUUUGUGUCUUCCCACUUGACUGGGAGGAUUCCAGUGAUACUUCUUGUGACCCCACUCUGUUUGUUGUAGGCUGGCGACAACUCAAUUGCUUAGAGGUUUUGCAAGGUGUUCCAUCAGAAUCCUUUAGGAAAAUGUAAAGUAUAAGGGAGUUUUUCUUAAGAACAAAUAUGUUUUUAAGUGAGUGAGUUUUCCCUCAGAAAUAAAGCUAGCAAUGGAUGAAACUUGAAAUGUUGUUUAUUAAACUUUCAGUUCAGAAUUCUUACUGACUAAACAGAUUAAUUUUAAAGCAUAUUGGUUCAUGAUUCCAAU